CAAUUCCACCCCUAGUAUGGGAACUUCCAUAUGCUGUGGGUGUGGCCCUAAAAAGACCAGAAAAAAGGAAAGAAACCAGGGCUCAGAGACAUGACGUAAAUUGCUCAGGGUUGCAGAGUGGGUGAAUUGAAAAACAUCUUUCCUUUCUUGGUUGGGAGUGCUGGAGGGGGUCUUAAAUUACUCUGAAUAUGAUGUUGGCCUGUGGAGGAGGGGGUGGGGCUUAAAAGCAUUUUUUUUUUCUCUCUCUUCACUCCACACCCAUGACAGAGGGAUGGGCUUGAGGGUCGGAGAGACCCUGAGCCUCUCUCUGAGCUCCCAUGGUGAUGAUCGGAGGUGCUGGACUCUUGUCCAGACCUGGCUUCCCUGAUGACGUCACUGCUCCUUCUCAGAUCUCCCGGAGCAGAGCUGCGGCAGUCUCCGUUGCCUCCCUGCAAUGUCGGAGCAAGAUAACUCCUGCAGGACACCUGCAGUGAUGCCAGGGCAAUGGAGCAGGCUUCACUUGCCCCCACGGCUCUCACCGGCAGGAGAGAAAACUGAGCCUUGGAGAGGUUUAGGACGUUGCCAAGGACACACCACUGGUCCACUCCAGCACGAGCACUCGGCAUCUCCCAUGUUCGUUGAAAAUGAAAAUUUCGCAUUUGGAAUGGAUAAGGAAUGAGAUCCUGCUCUAUAACAUGGAGAACUAUAUCUGAUCACAUGUGACGGAACAUGAUGGAGGAUAAUGUGAAAAAAAGAG